rnacentral:misc_RNA from 1 species
UAGUACACUGGCUCUUCCC